rnacentral:lncRNA from 1 species
AAUAAGUUAAAAAAUGAUAUGGAAAAUUGAAAUGAACAAAUUUUCUUAGACACGUACUUUCAAAUGGUGUAAUUUAUAUUAUGUAUAUUACAUAUCUUUUAUAUUUCUAAAAUAAAAAAAUUAUUUUAUAAAUAAAAAUUAGAUUAAACAUAUUUUAAACAUAAUUGUUUAUAUAUAAUAAGUUAAGAAAAUGAAAUGAAAAAAAAAACUGAAAUGAAAAAAGGAAUCAUAACGCACAAACCUUAAAUGGUGUAAGCAAUUCAAUUGUUUCCAAUGUAUAACUUGAUGACUUUUAUAUAAAUAUUUUUAAAAUACAUUGAAAAACACCCACUAACUCAAAAACCACACUGCUCCCAC